UCGGAACGUAAAUUGUACAAGACAAAGCAGGGGCUGAGUUUAAUAAACAUCUCAUCUCAUUGUACAUACCAAGACAGGAGACCCUGGCACGCCGAGACCGAAGCGCCCGGCAAAGCAGCUCCGGCACCAACGGGGCCACAGGGCAAGUGGCACCGGGUGGCCCUGAGCCCAACCGAGCCUCGCACCCGAGGAUUCCCCCAGUCCCCGAGCACGGUGCCGAGACCCCGUCCUCCACCCCCGGGGCCUCGUUCCCCACCAAACCAGAGCCGUAGGCCGGGAGCUGUAAACGUCGGAGGAUCGGCGAGUACGUGGCGAAGGCAUCUGAGCUUAGCAGGGAACGCAGCGCAGGCGUUAUGUGAUUUUGAACAGCUUGCUUGACAGUUUGCACCAUAUUGUAUUUAUAAACAUUGGCGAAACCAAAAUGCUUUUCCUCGGUGUUUCCGAAGGAGUCAUCCACAACAAAACAGACGUGCAGGGCAAGACCACGCAUCCCAGCGCGAAGGCGGUUCAAAUUAGAUAAAAAAAAAAAAAAAAAAAAAAAAAAAACACAAGAGGCCCCUAUUAAUUUCAGCAGGGUCACUCGGGCGAGUAAUUGCUCAGCAUCCCACGCAGCGCUCGAAGCCCCCAGCACCUCUCGGCCACCCAGGCCUGAAUUCAUGCGGGGCCGCAGUGCGAGGUAGCAGGGGCCAGUGACACCGGGCACACGGGGACCCGUGAGGUGGGAAGAGGAGUAGGCUGGGGAAGGGAGGAUUAUUUCGGGGGCGUUACAAAGCUCUCUCCAAUUAGGAGGGGCUCGUUAUCUGCUGGCAGGGAACGUCAGCCUGCAAGGAGCGGGUAUCGCUCUCCGAACGGAAGGAAGCGCGGCCACAGGACCCCAAAUACACCCACGCGGUGCACAUGGGACAUGCGGUGCACCACUGCUCAUUUCUGAUGCUGGAAAUAGAACAUGAAAUCUCUCUGUGUUGAAAAAAGCUCUCUCCUUCUUCAAACCCUAACAAGUUUUAAAUUCUACACAUUGCUCCGCGUGCGCCAGAGACCCUCAGCAGUGCUAGAAAGCCGGCCUCGGCAGCUCUCCUCUCGCAGGUAUGCGCUUUGCUACGAGGCAGGAGAGUGGGGCAGGGAGGAUGAGGCACCCUGACAAGCAGCACUCCGAAACGCCAUUCCUCAAAUAGUUAGGAACCAGCCACUUCCCAAGCAGGUUAUGCCCGAGACAGCCGUGCCUCCCAAGUGUCACUCGCACAUAAAUCACUCUCCACAGCCGCCCAAGGAGGAAUUCACCCUCCAACCCCGCUCGCCUCUUCCAGCUUUACAUGCCACCAACUCCACCGGCUCUACCAAACACACUACCGAGGCCGGAUGCCCACCACAGGCCGCUGCCGGACAGCGGCUGCAGGAUGCCCCGACGGCGACGCACUGCCACGUUGGUCAUCCAACGUCACCUGCCCUGGGGACUCUGCCUCCCAGCAGUGGCACCCUGCGAGCGUUUUGUGCCGGGGAGGUCAAGGCCUGCGGGAGGCUCACGCUGGCGGGGCGCGGGGAUGCGGCACCCCAGGAGUGCCGGCCCUUGGGAGCGCUGCGCUGGCCUUCCGAGGCUGCAAGGCACCAAAGUUGGAUCUGCAAGUGAUUAAACAGCGCUCCGCAGCCAUUGUCUCUGCACUGCCGAAAUAAAAACGCAACCCACAGCAAACCCCUGCGCUUGCAUCCCA